rnacentral:rRNA from 1 species
CCUACGGGAGGCAGCAGUGGGGAAUAUUGCACAAUGGGCGAAAGCCUGAUGCAGCAACGCCGCGUGAAGGAAGAAGGCCUUCGGGUCGUAAACUUCUGUCCUUGGGGAAGAGCAGAAGACGGUACCUCUUGAAUAAGCCACGGCUAACUACGUGCCAGCAGCCGCGGUAAUACGUAGGUGGCAAGCGUUGUCCGGAUUUACUGGGUGUAAAGGGCGUGCAGCCGGGAAGACAAGUCAGAUGUGAAAUCCCGCGGCUCAACCGCGGAACUGCAUUUGAAACUGUUUUUCUUGAGUACCGGAGAGGUCAUCGGAAUUCCUUGUGUAGCGGUGAAAUGCGUAGAUAUAAGGAAGAACACCAGUGGCGAAGGCGGAUGACUGGACGGCAACUGACGGUGAGGCGCGAAAGCGUGGGGAGCAAACAGGAUUAGAUACCCUUGUAGUC